rnacentral:rRNA from 1 species
GGGAUUAGAUACCCCACUAUGCUUAGCCUUAAACCCAGAUGUUAAAUUUACAAGCAACAUCCGCCAGGGUACUACAAGCGCUAGCUUAAAACCCAAAGGACUUGACGGUGUCUCAGACCCACCUAGAGGAGCCUGUUCUAGAACCGAUAAUCCCCGUUAAACCUCACCACCCCUUGUUUUCCCCGCCUAUAUACCGCCGUCGCAAGCUUACCCUGUGAAGGUCUCAUAGUAAGCAAAAUGGGUAAAUCCCAAAACGUCAGGUCGAGGUGUAGCUUACGAGGUGGGAAGAAAUGGGCUACAUUUUCUAUGUCAGAAUAAUACGAAAAGCACCAUGAAAUUAGUGCUCGAAGGUGGAUUUAGUAGUAAAAAAUAAAUAGAGAGUCUUUUUGAACCAGGCUCUGAGACGCGCACACACCGCCCC